CACGUAGGGCGCAAGCGUUGUCCGGAAUUAUUGGGCGUAAAGAGCUCGUAGGUGGUUUGUCACGUUGUUCGUGAAAACCCACAGCUUAACUGUGGGCGUGCGGGCGAUACGGGGCAGACUAGAGUACUGCAGGGGGAGACUGGAAUUCCUGGUGUAGCGGUGGAAUGCGCAGAUAUCAGGAGGAACACCGGUGGCGAAGGCGGGGUCUCUGGGCAGUAACUGACGCUGAGGAGCGAAAGCGUGGGGAGCGAACAGG
rnacentral:rRNA from 1 species